AGAGUUUGAUCAUGGCUCAGGAUGAACGCUGGCGGCGUGCCUAAUACAUGCAAGUCGAACGAGGUGCUUUUGUAGCAAUACGAGAGUAUCCUAGUGGCGAACGGGUGAGUAACGCGUUGGUGACCUACCCCAAAGUGUGGGAUAACAGUCCGAAAGGAUUGCUAAUACCGCAUGUGGUUAUUGGAUUUAGAAACCGGUAACUAAAGGAGCAAUUCGCUUUGGGAGGGACCUGCGUCCCAUCAGCUAGUUGGUGAGGUAAUGGCUCACCAAGGCGACGACGGGUAGGGGACCUGAGAGGGUGACCCCCCACAAUGGAACUGAAACACGGUCCAUACACCUACGGGUGGCAGCAGUAGGGAAUAUUGCUCAAUGGGCGAAAGCCUGAAGCAGCAACGCCGCGUGUGUGGUGAAGGCCUUCGGGUCGUAAAGCACUUUUCUGGGAGAUGAGAAAGGACAGUAUCCCAGGAAUAAGUCUCGGCUAACUACGUGCCAGCCGCCGCGGUAAUAC
rnacentral:rRNA from 1 species